AUUGAACGCUGGCGGCAGGCUUAACACAUGCAAGUCGAGCGGAGCGAGGGUGCUUGCACCUUAGCUUAGCGGCGGACGGGUGAGUAAUGCUUAGGAAUCUGCCUAUUAGUGGGGGACAACAUUCCGAAAGGAAUGCUAAUACCGCAUACGCCCUACGGGGGCAAGCAGGGGAUCUUCGGACCUUGCGCUAAUAGAUGAGCCUAAGUCGGAUUAGCUAGUUGGUGGGGUAAAGGCCUACCAAGGCGACGAUCUGUAGCGGGUCUGAGAGGAUGAUCCGCCACACUGGGACUGAGACACGGCCCAGACUCCUACGGGAGGCAGCAGUGGGGAAUAUGGGACAAUGGGCGGAAGCCUGAUCCAGCCAUGCCGCGUGUGUGAAGAAGGCCUUUUGGUUGUAAAGCACUUUAAGCGAGGAGGAGGCUACUUAGAUUAAUACUCUGGGAUAGUGGACGUUACUCGCAGAAUAAGCACCGGCUAACUCUGUGCCAGCCGCCGCAGUAA
rnacentral:rRNA from 1 species